rnacentral:lncRNA from 1 species
AUGCACGAGGGCUCCACAGUCCUCUGCCUCCUCACCUUCCUCCCCUCCUGGAUCCUCCGCCUCCUCACCUUCCUCCCACCUGGAUCCUCCCCCUACUCAUCACCCUCCCAACCUGGAUCCUCCCCCUCCUCACCUUCCUCCCAACUAGAUUCUGCCUCUCCUCACCUUCCUCCCCUCCUGGAUCCUCCACCUCCUCACCUUCCUCCCACCUGGGUCCUCCCCCUCCUCCUCAUUCUCCCAGCCUGGAUCAUCCGCCUCCUCACCUUCCUCCCACCUGGAACCUCCCCCUCCUCAUCAUCCUCCCCACCUGGAUCCUCCCCCACCUCACCUUCCUACCACCUGGAUCCUCUGCCUCUUUAUCUUCCUCCCACUUGGAUCCUCCCCUCCUCUUCUUCCUCCCACCUGGAUCCUCCCCCUCCUCACCUUCCUCUCACUUGGAUCCUCUGCCUCCUCAGCGUCCUCCCCACCUAUAUCCUCACCCUCCUCACCUUCCUCCCCACCUGUAUCCUCACCCUCCUCACCUUCCUCCCACCUGGAUCCUCUCCCUCCUCACCUUCCUCCCACCUGGAUCCUCUCCCUCCUCACCUUCCUCCCACCUGGAUCCUCUCCCUCCUCACCUUCCUCCCAUCUGCACCCUCCCCCUCCUCACCUUCCUCCCCACCUGUAUCCUCACCCUCCUCACCUUCCUCCCACCUGGAUCCUCUCCCUCCUCACCUUCCUCCCCACCUGUAUCCUCACCCUCCUCACCUUCCUCCCACCUGGAUCCUCUCCCUCCUCACCUUCCUCCCACCUGGAUCCUCCGCCUCCUCACUGUCCUCCCCUCCUGGAUCCUCCCCCUCCUCAUCAUCCUCCCAUCCUCCCAACCUGGAUCCUCUACCUCCUCACCUUCCUCCCACCUGGAUCCUCCCCCUACUCAUCAUCCUCCCAUCCUCCCAGCCUGGAUCCUCCGCCUCCUCAUCUUCCUCCCACCUGGAACCUCCCCCUCCUCAUCAUCCUCCCCACCUGGAUCCUACCCCACCUCACCUUCCUCCCCACCUGGGUCCUCCACCUCCUCACCUUCCUCCCACCUGGAUCCUCCGCGUCCUCACUGUCCGCCCCUCCUGGAUCCUCCCCCUCUUCAUCAUCCUCCCAUCCUCCCAACCUGGAUCCUCCGCCUCCUCACCUUCCUCCACUCUUGGAUCCUCCACGUCCUCACUAUCCUCCCACCUGGAACCUCCCCCUCCUCAUCAUCCUCCCCACCUGGAUCUUCCCCCACCUCACCUUCCUCCCACCUGGAUCCUCCCCUCCUCAACUUCCUCCCACCUGGACCCUCCGCCUCCUCACCUUCCUCCCCACCGUGAUCCUCCUGCUCCUCUCCUUCCUCCCACCCAGAUCCUCCACCUCCUCACCUUCUUCCCCACCUGUUCUCACCUUCUGUCCAUUUGCCCAUCAUCUCUAGGGUGUGUGCAACUCCAUUCACUACUUUGCCUGCAUUCAUCCUGGCUGUUCCCAGGCGGCGGCCAUAAGGGGCAGGGCUGGCAAGGUUUUCACCGGAUAUUUGAGUGA